rnacentral:tRNA from 1 species
ACCUGGCUGGCUCAGUCAGUGGAGCAUGUGACUCUUGAUCUCAGGGUUGUGAGUUCAAGCCCCACGUUGGGUA